rnacentral:rRNA from 1 species
UCGAUCUCAGAUCAAGUAAGACUACCCGCUGAACUUAAGCAUAUCAAUAAGCGGAGGA